rnacentral:misc_RNA from 1 species
CUGGCCGCCGCCGCCCGCACAGCGCGCCGCCGCCGCCCGCCAGAGCCGCCGCCGGUCGGGGGGCUCGCCAGAGCCGCCGCCGGCGCCCUUGGCCAGCGCCGCGGUGGACGCCGCCGCCUCCCCGCCCCUGGCCAGCGCCGCCCGUGGCCGCCGGGACCUCCCCGCCUUGGGCCAGCGCCGCCCACGCCAGAGGCCGCCCCUUGCCCAGGCCGCCUCGCUCCCUGCCCCUGGCCGGCGCCGCUAAGCCCAGGCCACCUCGUCGCAGGCCGAGGCCGCUGUCGUCCGCGCCCCGAGACCACCGCCGCCGUCCACAGCCUCCGCGGCCGUUGCCCCGAGGCCGCAGCGGCCCGCCGCCGCGUUACCCGAGGCCGCAGCCGUCCCCGAGCCCGAGGCCGUCGUCGAGUCUUGUCACGUGAGCGCGCGCACGUGGCCGUUCGCACGGGGCCGAACGCGGCCGCACGUGAGCGCGCGCACGCAGCUUCACACCGGUCGCCAGCCGUCACUCCUGUGAGGCCUGAAAGGUCUCGUCCAUCGAGGUCGUCUAGCCGUGGUCCUCGCUCUAGUACCCAAGGAAACGCCGAGCUGAUCCGGAUGCAGGAAGCUUUGAGGCGGCAGGAGGAGUAUAACAAGCAACAACAAGAGUACUGGGCUGCUCAAUUUGCACGACAGCAGGAGAUGAUGCAGCAAAUAGCACUAGGGCAACGUCCAGAUUUUUCAGCGAUGACUAUGCCACCUCCUCCACCUAUCCCGCAGUUUGUACCGACUCCACAAUUUAGUUGGCCCACACCUGCACCUCAGGUCCCUCCAGGAAACUUGCUAACUCCGGGAAAUGAGGACUCUGAAGAUGCGGUCGCUUCUUUUGUGGACGGUCUUCUAAACAAUGGAGGAGCUAGCGGAUCAAAUCAACCACAUCCAUUUGAUCAACCUCCUCCAUUUGAGUAG